GUGCUUGCUUCGGCAGCACAUAUACUACAGUUGAAACAAUACAGAAAAGAUUAGCAUAGCCCCUGCACAAAGAUGAUACACAUUCGUGAAGUGUUCCAUAUUUUU